CCGCCCCCAACAACCACGUCCAAAGACAUGCAGAUGGAGGUUAUAGGGCUGACCACCUGCCCAGGGUGUACCCCGCCUCUCGCCUAAUGUCAUCUGGGAUCGGCUGCAGCUCCUGCGUGACCCUCAAUGGAUAAGCGGUAGAUAAUGGACUUAUGAACAGUUGUUGCAUGUUUUCCAUCGCCUUUCAUCAGAAAUAAUUAUAAUCAUUGCACCGGGUUAGCGAUGAGCUGUUUAUCACAAGCCUCUGUGAUUUGUAGAGGUCCAGGUUCAAAGCUUGACAUCUCAAAGAGCUUAGUGUUAAGUGAUGCAAUUAAAAAAAGUUUAGUUCUGUUACAGGCUGCUGUUGAGGUAUGUUCUUUUUUUUUUUUUUGUUUCCUCGCUGACUGCUUGUUCAAGUGGAAAGGUCAAAUUGCUGAUGUUUGAGACUGGAAACACUUGAGCUUCAUGUGUCUAAUAUGGUUGAGGCCUGAGGUGAUAAACCUAGUUUUUGAUAUGUUCUUUUUAUACCUCAGGGCCGGCAACAAGCAUGGCCAGAGGCAUUAUCUGUGAGGGUUUUGUGUCUGUCCACUCACCCCAGUCUGUUGAGUAUGAUAUUGUAGGAAUGCCUGGAGAGAAUUUUGGCUGAAACUCAGGGAUGGAGUGAUCAGACUGUGGUCAUCAGAAGUCAAAGGUCAUAUUACUAUUAAUUCAUAUUAUAUGAGCAGAGACUACAACACACAGCUACUCCGUACAUCACUGGAUGUCCUCCUUCCUCCACUAUUUGCUAAUAUGUCAACUGUUUCAUCAAAACAUUUUAAAUCUGUCCGGGAGGCCGAUCUUGGUGUAGAGUAUGAGAUGCGGAGGGAGGGGAUGGAGAGGAUCCGUUCAGGCCCAAUUA